AACGAACGCUGGCGGCAGGCCUAACACAUGCAAGUCGAGCGCCCCGCAAGGGGAGCGGCGGACGGGUGAGUAACGCGUGGGAACGUGCCCCUUUCUACGGAAUAGCCUCGGGAAACUGGGAGUAAUACCGUAUAAGCCCUACGGGGGAAAGAUUUAUCGGGAAGGGAUCGGCCCGCGUUGGAUUAGGUAGUUGGUGGGGUAAUGGCCUACCAAGCCGACGAUCCAUAGCUGGUUUGAGAGGAUGAUCAGCCACACUGGGACUGAGACACGGCCCAGACUCCUACGGGAGGCAGCAGGGGGGAAUCUUAGACAAUGGGCGCAAGCCUGAUCUAGCCAUGCCGCGUGAGCGAUGAAGGCCUUAGGGUUGUAAAGCUCUUUCAGUGGGGAAGAUAAUGACUGUACCCACAGAAGAAGCCCCGGCUAACUCCGUGCCAGCCGCCGCGGUAACAC
rnacentral:rRNA from 1 species